rnacentral:rRNA from 1 species
GACGAACGCUGGCGGCGUGCUUAACACAUGCAAGUCGAGGGGGUUCGUGGGGCAACUCACGGAUCACCGGCGAACGGGUGCGUAACACGUGAGCGACCUGCCGUACCUGUGGGGGAUAGCCGGCCCAACGGCCGGGUAAUACCGCAUACGCUUGUCUUGGGGCAUCCUGGGACAAAGAAAGCUGUGGGGGCAACCCUGUGGCGCAGGACGAGGGGCUCGCGGCCUAUCAGCUAGUUGGCGGGGAACGCCCACCAAGGCGGUGACGGGUAGCUGGUCUGAGAGGAUGGCCAGCCACAUUGGGACUGAGAGACGG